AAGUCCGUAGUUUACAUUAAGGAAGACUCCUGAUGUUGUACACUCUAUGGAUUCUACAAAUGUAUAAUGAUGAAAAAUGAAAGUACCUUUUAUUGGUCCCCUCCUGCAACCAGGACUGAUGAGACAAUCAAACUUCAGAUAAUCAUGCAACAAGGUUUCCAGCCAGUUCCAGGUGUAGACACCACUCCCAGCCAUCAAGAAACUACUGUCAAGGCAAGGGUUCUGUGAUCCUCAAUAGGUACGAAUCCUGGAAGUGGAAAGGAAGGGGCAUGAAUUUCGGAAAUGGGGAAGAAGAAGAAACGACAGCAACUAGAUGUCAUAAUUUACAGCAGCAGAUGUGAAGCAAGUUUUUGGAUUAUGGCCAGUGGAAAGAAAGCAUGCCAGACAGCUAAUGGGAGGCAAGAGUAGUGUGACAUGUGGAUGGACUGGAGGGCAGGGAUGUGCAUUAUAUUUAAUAGGAGGCAACUUCUCUGCAUGCUAUGGAGCCCAUAAAAUCAUCAACUAAAUCUCAGAGCAUUAAAAGCUGCUCUCAAUCCAAUAUUAAAUUUGAAUUUUGGGUAAAUGCUGGAGGGGCUCCAAUUUGGAAGUGUUACAUUAUCAAGUUAAAUCAUAAGAGCAAUUUAUAAAAGAGAUAGCUUGGAAUUAAACUACAAAAGCUGCUUAAGGUAAAAUAUGCGAGGGAACUCUCUUGUUGCCAUUGUGAGACCCUGGAGAACAGAUGGAACCAACUCUCAAGCUUCUGCUCGGGCAGAAAUAAAGAUGUUCUUUGAAACCAACGAGAACAAAGACACAACAUACCAGAAUCUCUGGGACACAUUCAAAGCAGUGUGUAGAGGGAAAUUUAUAGCACUAAAUGCCCACAAGAGAAAGCAGGAAAGAUCCAAAAUUGACACCCUAACAUCACAAUUAAAAGAACUAGAAAAGCAAGAGCAAACACAUUCAAAACCUAGCAGAAGGCAAGAAAUAACUAAAAUCAGAGCAGAACUGAAGGAAAUAGAGACACAAAAAACCCUUCAAAAAAUUAAUGAAUCCAGGAGCUGCUUUUUUGAAAGGAUCAACAAAAUUGAUAGACCGCUAGCAAGACUAAUAAAGAAGAAAAGAGAGAAGAAUCAAAUAGAUGCAAUAAAAAAUGAUAAAGGGGAUAUCACCACCGAUCCCACAGAAAUACAAACUACCAUCAGAGAAUACUACAAACACCUCUACACAAAUAAACUAGAAAAUCUAGAAGAAAUGGAUAAAUUCCUCAACACAUACACCCUCCCAAUACUAAACCAGGAAGAAGUUGAAUCUCUGAAUAGACAAAUAACAGGCUCUGAAAUUGUGGCAAUAAUCAAUAGCUUACCAACCAAAAAGAGUCCAGGACCAGAUGGAUUCACAGCCGAAUUCUACCAGUGGUACAAGGAGAAACUGGUACCAUUCCUUCUGAAACUAUUCCAAUCAAUAGAAAAAGAGGGAAUCCUCCCUAACUCAUUUUAUGAGGCCAGCAUCAUCCUGAUACCAAAGCCGGGCAGAGACACAACCAAAAAAGAGAAUUUUAGACCAAUAUCCUUGAUGAACAUUGAUGCAAAAAUCCUCAAUAAAAUACUGGCAAACUGAAUCCAGCAGCACAUCAAAAAGCUUAUCCACCAUGAUCAAGUGGGCUUCAUCCCUGGGAUGCGAGGCUGGUUCAAUAUAUGCAAAUCAAUAAAUGUAAUCCAGCAUAUAAACAUAACCAAAGACAAAAACCACAUGAUUAUCUCCAUAGAUGCAGAAAAGGCCUUUGACAAAAUUUGGCACUCUUGUUCUUUCAAAUAAAUCUUUUUUCCUACCCUGCUGA